AUACGUAGGGAGCGAGCGUUGUCCGGAAUUACUGGGUGUAAAGGGAGCGUAGGCGGGAUGGCAAGUCAGAUGUGAAAACUAUGGGCUCAACCCAUAGACUGCAUUUGAAACUGUUGUUCUUGAGUGAAGUAGAGGUAAGCGGAAUUCCUGGUGUAGCGGUGAAAUGCGUAGAUAUCAGGAGGAACAUCGGUGGCGAAGGCGGCUUACUGGGCUUUUACGGACGCUGAGGCUCGAAAGCGUGGGGAGCAAACAGGAUUAGAUACCCUGGUAGUCCACGCUGUAAACGAUGAUUACUAGGUGUGGGGGGACUGACCCCUUCCGUGCCGCAGUUAACACAAUAAGUAAUCCACCUGGGGAGUACGGCCGCAAGGUUGAAACUCAAAUGAAUUGACGGGG
rnacentral:rRNA from 1 species